AUUGAACGCUGGCGGCAGGCCUAACACAUGCAAGUCGAGCGGAUGAAGGGAGCUUGCUCCUGGAUUCAGCGGCGGACGGGUGAGUAAUGCCUAGGAAUCUGCCUGGUAGUGGGGGAUAACGUCCGGAAACGGGCGCUAAUACCGCAUACGUCCUGAGGGAGAAAGUGGGGGAUCUUCGGACCUCACGCUAUCAGAUGAGCCUAGGUCGGAUUAGCUAGUUGGUGGGGUAAAGGCCUACCAAGGCGACGAUCCGUAACUGGUCUGAGAGGAUGAUCAGUCACACUGGAACUGAGACACGGUCAAGACUACUACGGGAGGCAGAAGUGGGGAAUAUUGGACAAUGGGCGAAAGCCUGAUCCAGCCAUGCCGCGUGUGUGAAGAAGGUCUUCGGAUUGUAAAGCACUUUAAGUUGGGAGGAAGGGCAGUAAGUUAAUACCUUGCUGUUUUGACGUUACCAACAGAAUAAGCACCGGCUAACUUCGUG
rnacentral:rRNA from 1 species